rnacentral:rRNA from 1 species
GAACGCUAGCUACAGGCUUAACACAUGCAAGUCUUUGGGCAUCAGGAAGAAAGCUUGCUUUCUUUGCUGGCGACCGGCGCACGGGUGAGUAACACGUAUCCAACCUGCCCUUUACUCGGGGAUAGCCUUUCGAAAGAAAGAUUAAUACCCGAUAGCAUAAUGAUUCCGCAUGGUUUCAUUAUUAAAGGAUUCCGGUAAAGGAUGGGGAUGCGUUCCAUUAGGUUGUUGGUGAGGUAACGGCCCACCAAGCCUUCGAUGGAUAGGGGUUCUGAGAGGAAGGUCCCCCACAUUGGAACUGAGACACGGUCCAAACUCCUACGGGAGGCAGCAGUGAGGAAUAUUGGUCAAUGGGCGCUAGCCUGAACCAGCCAAGUAGCGUGAAGGAUGAAGGCUCUAUGGGUCGUAAACUUCUUUUAUAUAAGAAUAAAGUGCAGUAUGUAUACUGUUUUGUAUGUAUUAUAUGAAUAAGGAUCGGCUAACUCCGUGCCAGCAGCCGCGGUAAUACGGAGGAUCCGAGCGUUAUCCGGAUUUAUUGGGUUUAAAGGGAGCGUAGGUGGACUGGUAAGUCAGUUGUGAAAGUUUGCGGCUCAACCGUAAAAUUGCAGUUGAUACUGUCAGUCUUGAGUACAGUAGAGGUGGGCGGAAUUCGUGGUGUAGCGGUGAAAUGCUUAGAUAUCACGAAGAACUCCGAUUGCGAAGGCAGCUCACUGGACUGCAACUGACACUGAUGCUCGAAAGUGUGGGUAUCAAACAGGAUUAGAUACCCUGGUAGUCCACACAGUAAAACGAUGAAUACUCGCUGUUUGCGAUAUACAGUAAGCGGCCCAAGCGAAAGCAUUAAGUAUUCCACCUGGGGAGUACGCCGGCAACGGUGAAACUCAAAGGAAUUGACGGGGGCCCGCACAAGCGGAGGAACAUGUGGUUUAAUUCGAUGAUACGCGAGGAACCUUACCCGGGCUUAAAUUGCAGUGGAAUGAUGUGGAAACAUGUCAGUGAGCAAUCACCGCUGUGAAGGUGCUGCAUGGUUGUCGUCAGCUCGUGCCGUGAGGUGUCGGCUUAAGUGCCAUAACGAGCGCAACCCUUAUCUUUAGUUACUAACAGGUUAUGCUGAGGACUCUAGAGAGACUGCCGUCGUAAGAUGUGAGGAAGGUGGGGAUGACGUCAAAUCAGCACGGCCCUUACGUCCGGGGCUACACACGUGUUACAAUGGGGGGUACAGAAGGCAGCUAGCGGGUGACCGUAUGCUAAUCCCAAAAUCCUCUCUCAGUUCGGAUCGAAGUCUGCAACCCGACUUCGUGAAGCUGGAUUCGCUAGUAAUCGCGCAUCAGCCACGGCGCGGUGAAUACGUUCCCGGGCCUUGUACACACCGCCCGUCAAGCCAUGGGAGCCGGGGGUACAUGAAGUACGUAACCGCAAGGAUCGUCCUAGGGUAAAACUGG